rnacentral:rRNA from 1 species
AGGGUGUAAACGCUGCAGACUUGGUGUUGGAAGCCCUUUGGGGGCAUUCAGUGCCGGAGAGAAGUUGUUAAGUCUGCUACUUGGGGAGUACGUCCGCAAGGAUGAAACUUAAAGGAAUUGGCGGGGGAGCACCGCAACGGGAGGAGCGUGCGGUUUAAUUGGAUUCAACACCGUAAAACUCACCAGGGAAGACUGUUACAUGAAGGCCGAGAUGAAGACUCUGCUAGAUUUUCAGAGAGGUGGUGCAUGGCGUCAGUGACU